UACAGAGGUCUCAAGCGUUGUUCGGAUUCAUUGGGCGUAAAGGGUGCGUAGGCGGCGCGGUAAGUCGGGUGUGAAAUCUCGGAGCUUAACUCCGAAACUGCAUUCGAUACUGCCGUGCUUGAGGACUGGAGAGGAGACUGGAAUUCUCGGUGUAGCGGUGAAAUGCGUAGAGAUGUGGAGGAACACCGAUGGCGAAGGCAGCCCCCUGGGCUGAGAUUGACGCUCAGGCACGAAAGCGUGGGGAGCAAACAGG
rnacentral:rRNA from 1 species